rnacentral:rRNA from 1 species
UACGUAGGGGGCUAGCGUUGUCCGGAAUCAUUGGGCGUAAAGCGCGCGUAGGCGGCCCGGUAAGUCCGCUGUAAAAGUCAAAGGCUCAACCUUUGAAUGUCAGUGGAUACUGCCAGGCUAGAGUCCGGAAGAGGCGAGUGGAACUCCUGGUGUAGCGGUGGAAUGCGCAGAUAUCAGGAAGAACACCGACGGCGAAGGCAGCUCGCUGGGACGGUACUGACGCUGAGGUGCGAAAGCGUGGGGAGCAAACAGG